GUGCUCAUUUCAGCAGCACAUAUACUAAAAUUGGAACCAUACAGAGAUUAGCAUGGCCCCUGCCCAAGGAUAACACAGAAUUCAUGAAGUGUUCCAUACUUAA
rnacentral:snRNA from 1 species